rnacentral:rRNA from 1 species
AGAUUGAACGCUGGCGGCAUGCUUUACGCAUGCAAGUCGAACGGUAACAGGCCGCAAGGUGCUGACGAGUGGCGAACGGGUGAGUAAUGCAUCGGAACGUGCCCAGUCGUGGGGGAUAACGCAGCGAAAGCUGUGCUAAUACCGCAUACGAUCUAUGGAUGAAAGCGGGGGACCGAAAGGCCUCGCGCGAUUGGAGCGGCCGAUGUCAGAUUAGCUAGUUGGUGGGGUAAAGGCCCACCAAGGCGACGAUCUGUAGCUGGUCUGAGAGGACGACCAGCCACACUGGAACUGAGACACGGUCCAGACUCCUACGGGAGGCAGCAGUGGGGAAUUUUGGACAAUGGGCGCAAGCCUGAUCCAGCAAUGCCGCGUGC